AGUGAACGCUGGCGGUAGGCCUAACACAUGCAAGUCGAACGGCAGCACAGUAAGAGCUUGCUCUUGCGGGUGGCGAGUGGCGGACGGGUGAGGAAUACAUCGGAAUCUACUUUUUCGUGGGGGAUAACGUAGGGAAACUUACGCUAAUACCGCAUACGACCUACGGGUGAAAGCAGGGGAUCUUCGGACCUUGCGCGAUUGAAUGAGCCGAUGUCGGAUUAGCUAGUUGGCGGGGUAAAGGCCAACCAAGGCGACGAUCCGUAGCUGGUCUGAGAGGAUGAUCAGCCACACUGGAACUGAGACACGGUCCAGACUCCUACGGGAGGCAGCAGUGGGGAAUAUUGGACAAAGGGCGCAAGCCUGAUCCAGCCAUACCGCGUGGGUGAAGAAGGCCUUCGGGUUGUAAAGCCCUUUUGUUGGGAAAGAAAAGCAGCAGGUUAAUACCCCGCUGUUCUGACGGUACCCAAAGAAUAAGCACCGGCUAACUUCGUG
rnacentral:rRNA from 1 species